rnacentral:sRNA from 1 species
AUCAAUUUUGUUAAAAUUUAGUAAAAAAAAGUAGCACAUAAUCACAAAGACAAACAUUAUUUAGCAGCUCUCAGCAUUCUUCCUUUGGUUGUAGCACAUUUUUAAUUUUUUGAUAUGCCAACCAAAUGAAGAUCAAAACGAAAUAUCCAAACAAAAUAAUAACAAAGUUGCAAAGUUACAACUACAAGAAGACUCAUACAAAACAUAAAGCAAAAACAACAACAGGGUGACCCGUGACAAAUAAUUUUGAUUAACUAAAAUUUUUAAUGUGCAAAAAAUUGACCCAAAUCAAUUAAUAGUUGUAGUAAAUCAAUAAAGAAGUGUGUGAAUGACCCGAAAACCUUGAAAGUGAUCCGCACAGUGGGACAAAUGCUGAAAAAGCGAAAAUUUAAGAAUUUUUCCAAAAAUUUUAUUAAAAGGGUUUUUGUACAAAUUACAGCAAAAAUAAUAUAAAAAUUGAAAAUUUGAACGAUGUAUAGUCCAACCAAAUAUUUUUGUUUUUUUUUCAACUUUCACUCGAAACAACGGCAAUAACGGCAAUUUUCCAAGCUACAGAGUUUUAGAAAAAGACACUCAACACAAAAAAUCAAAAACAACGAUCCAUAAAACAACAAAAAUCAAAAAGAUAUUAAAAAGACGGAGCGGAAACACAGCAGCACAUUAACACCCACAUACACACACAUCUUACACAAACAGUUUCAAAGAAUAGAAUGUUUUCUUUAGUAAAAUAUCACGAUGAUAGCUCUUCCGUCGUUCUCUCAAAGAACAUUUCAAAAUUUGACAAGAAGGGGUGUGUGGUCAAAUAUAAAGGUGGUUACUAUUCGGCCUUGUACAUAACCAGCAACGAUGACGCAUCAUAUCUUCGCGAUGUGCAAUCGAAGAUGGAAGAAGGAGGAUCGACAUCCAUAACACCUUCUCAUUUGCUAGCAGAUGAAAGUUUGACAGAAAAGAACGCCAAUAUUUAGAAUUAUUACUUAAACAAUAUCAAGUCCCGCAAACUAUUUGCUUACCAAAUUAUAAUUUAUUUAAAACAUUUUAAUAUCUUAAAACAUUUUUUUUAUCCCAAAAAGCAAUUUUUCUACAAUGGAUGGUAAAGACUUUGUUAACUUUUAUAUUGACCAUAAAAAUGUCGAAGUUUGUCAUU